rnacentral:rRNA from 1 species
GAUGAACGCUAGCGGCAGGCCUAACACAUGCAAGUCGAGGGGCAGCACGGAUUGCUUGCAAUCUGGUGGCGACCGGCGCACGGGUGCGGAACGCGUAUGGAACCUGCCCCUGUCAGGGAAUAGCCCAGAGAAAUUUGGAUUAAUGCCCCAUGGCAACAAAGUAUCGCAUGAUAUUUUGUUUAAAGAUUUAUCGGACAGGGAUGGCCAUGCGUACCAUUAGCUUGUUGGUGGGGUAACGGCCCACCAAGGCAACGAUGGUUAGGGGCCCUGAGAGGGGGAUCCCCCACACUGGUACUGAGACACGGACCAGACUCCUACGGGAGGCAGCAGUGAGGAAUAUUGGACAAUGGGCGGGAGCCUGAUCCAGCCAUGCCGCGUGCAGGAUGACCGCCCUAU